GGGAGCAGUGCUCAGAUGGCAGAGCGUUCGCUUAGUAUGCGAGAGGUACGGGGGGAUCGAUACCCCACGCCUCCA